rnacentral:misc_RNA from 1 species
GCAGAUAUCUCCUCUUCAAAACUCUUCAUUACAGAGUCUAGAUCCUGAGUGGUCGGGUCAGGGUCCGACUCAUCAAGAAUACUCAACAAAUCAUCUCUUAUUUUCUUCACCUCGGGAAAAUCCAACUCGGCCUCCUCCCUGACUCGCUUCUUGUUGAUAAGCUCUUCCAUUGCGAUGUAAAAGAGGAAAUUUGAUAUUUGAUAUACCCUCGAAAACAAUAAAAAUGAAACAGUAUGGUUAGGGUUUUUGCUUUUCUUGCAGUAGAUAGGAAAUAAUACGCUUUGCGGUUGUGGCGUGGGGUGGCAGCGUAAUGAGAAGUUUAUAUACAAGUGACAAUAGAGAGAGAAAA